rnacentral:rRNA from 1 species
GACAGAGGAUGCAAGCGUUAUCCGGAAUGAUUGGGCGUAAAGCGUCUGUAGGUGGCUUUUUAAGUCUGCCGUCAAAUCCCAGGGCUUAACCCUGGACAGGCGGUGGAAACUACCAAGCUGGAGUACGGUAGGGGCAGAGGGAAUUCCCGGUGUAGUGGUGAAAUGCGUAGAUAUCGGGAGGAACACCAGUGGCGAAGGCGGCUUCCUGGCCUGUUCUUGACGCUGAGGCGCGAAAGCUAGGGGAGCAAACGGG